UACGGAGGAUCCAAGCGUUAUCCGGAAUCAUUGGGUUUAAAGGGUCCGUAGGCGGUUUGGUAAGUCAGUGGUGAAAGCCCAUCGCUCAACGGUGGAACGGCCAUUGAUACUGCCAGACUUGAAUUAUUAGGAAGUAACUAGAAUAUGUAGUGUAGCGGUGAAAUGCUUAGAGAUUACAUGGAAUACCAAUUGCGAAGGCAGGUUACUACUAAUGGAUUGACGCUGAUGGACGAAAGCGUGGGUAG
rnacentral:rRNA from 1 species